GACAACAGUACCUGUAGUUGUUUGAAGAGGAGGUUUCAGUAGUGACCUGUACCCUUGGUAAUAACAGGCUUUAUAGGUAACAAAAUGUGUUCUCUGCCUACUGAAUAACAAAACACCAAUCAUGAGAUAACGCUUAGUAAAGCUGACUCAUUUCCUCCUUUACAGAUGAAAGGAGUUGUCCAAGAAAUGACUAUCUCAGAGGGAAAUUUUCCUUCAGGUCAUUACGUGAGUCUCUUUAAAGCAUGGCGGACUGUAGCAUUAGGUUUUCAGUUAUUAGGUAUAUUAAAAAGUAAAUUUUAUUAUGAAAUAAUAUCAUACAUUUAAAGCCCGGUCCGGUUUUAUCUUGAAAUAUGUGAUAACUCCUGGUUUCAGAUGCGAUUCAGAAGAAAUAGGUUGACUUGUAUCAUCAGGUGUCCAGAAGAUUAAAAUUUCUGUUUUAUUAAAAUGUGGAAUUCACGUUUGUUUUCAGCCAAGCAAGGUUUGGUGAUUCUGCAGCUGUCACCCUCAGCAUCUCUGUAGGACAGCCUCUUGCCCCUCUUCACCCAGGUCUGCAGGAGGGUGGCAGCGUGGCUUGGGAAGGCUGGGUGGCGGGAGCUCAGAGGGGGUGCAGUGUUCCCACCACACAGCGGCGGCUCAACUGCCCAGGCUGUGGGGUUUCCAGCUGUGUCGUGUUGACUUGAACCGACUCAGCAGGCGGUGCCCUCCUGGAGCACCUGAAGCCUCCAGAGAAAUAUGAUGGAAAACCAAGAGGCCUCCACCUCCCUGACUUGCUGCGACCUCCUGGGCUUUGCAGCCAGGCUGCUUUCGUGGAUGCAGUCCUCGAAGCUAGUUUGGAAGACAUUUAUUUUUAAAUAUACAGGAAGCCAAAUACGUUGAGAGAAAAGCCGCCUAAUGCAUUCCUCUGUUCAUCUCCAAAGUCAUAGCUGGUUUUCUAGACCCGAUUUUCAUCAGACUUUCCAAAGACAGAAAGAGUCUCCUCUACAUAGGGCUUCCUUCUUUGCCUUCAUCUGUAAUGCGAGCCUUGCCCUAGGUUGCCUCUCUCUCUCCUUGCUCCGCCUGCUUCGGAAUUCUCCUGUCAUUUCAACAGUGGUACCAAGCUUUUUGUUGUUAGGAAAUCACAAAUUCUGAAACACACUCAACUGAGCAGAUUUAAAAAUAACCUAGGCUUCUCUACUAUUUGGUUGUUUGAAUGCAAAGCAAA
rnacentral:lncRNA from 1 species